AUGUGUCCAAACGUGACCCCUUAGCCCCUCACUCAUCUCUCUCAACCCAUCUAGUUCCUCUAUAAUGCCGCCGCCAGCCGCUGAUGGAAAUCGCCCCACAGCGCUGACGAGUCUCAAAUAGCCCCGAAACUCACAUCACACUCUCUCGCCUCUUCCUCAUGCCCCUACAACACCCUGUUUCCUUAAAUCCCAUAGGAACAUGCCUAAAUCUUCAAAACCCUAGCGCCGCUACAGUUCCUCCAACGGCGCCGCCUCCUCCAAUCAAACCAAAAUUUAUGUCACAAGAUCCCCUUCAUCUCCUCAUACCGAAUUCCCGAUUACCCACCCUCGAACCCCUCUCAAACUGCUCAAAUAUUAAGUCACAAACCUAAGCCUUAAUUCAGCAAACUCAAAAUUAAACAAUAUUUUUCUGUUUUGCUUUUCUUUAUUUUUUUCUUUUAUUUGUACCUCUUAUUGUUACCUAUUUCUUCCCUUUCUUGGUUUUUUUUGUUUCGUUUGCCCUGUUCCAUCAGAGUUGUCUUUUGCAUGCAUAUUAGUUUUAGGAAGCUUUUCUUUUAUUCUACUUAUUAGUUAGUUUUAAUGUUCAGAGAUGUUAGUUCAGUAAUUGAAUAAAAAAAAGAAAAAGAAAAAGAGAAAACUGCUCGAAUUGCCUUUGUUUUUUGCUUGUUUCAUUUUAAUUUAGAAAUUGGGUUUGAUUAUGUUUGAGCUUGAGAUUCAUACCCUUAAGUUUAGUUUUGGGUUGGGUGGCUAAUGGAUUUGACCUAGGAUCAAUGUGACCCAUAGCUUAUUUCAGCCCAAUGUAAAAAUAGGGUGGCUAAGGCGUAAAUUGGUUAGAUCACUUGGGGAAUCUCUGAAGUAACUUUUUAGGAAGUUUCUAGAAAGCUGAAAAUAGCCUUGCUUGGCUAGCAAGACAAAAUCUAAGGGAUCAAGUAGCAAAAUAAGAUUAGAAAAGGGACUAGAAUUGAAAAAAAAAUUUUGAUACUUGCCCUAUUGCUUUCCUAUUAAGGCAUCUCAACCAUGCCUCUCAAGGAGGACUUAGGAGAGAAAAAAGGGAUAGAAAUCCAGAAAAAUACAAAAUGAAAAAUUUUCUUCUGUUCCAUUGAGGAAUUUGGUAAUCUUGGAGGCUCUUAUUUCUAAAAUCAUCUCUGGACAAUUAGUGUUUAAAAUUACUUGAGUUUUUGGUUGAUUUUUGAGAGCUUUGGUUCAAGUUUUA
rnacentral:lncRNA from 1 species